AGCCUGCACUUGAUUAGUUUGUUGGUGGGGUAAUGGCCUACCAAGACUGUGAUCAAUAGCUGAUUUGAGAGGAUGAUCAGCCACAUUGGGACUGAGACACGGCCCAAACUCCUACGGGAGGCAGCAGUGGGGUAUCUUGCACAAUGGAGGAAACUCUGAUGCAGCGAUGCCGCGUGAGUGAAGAAGGCCUUUGGGUUGUAAAGCUCUUUCGUCGGGGAAGAAAAUGACUGUACCCGAAUAAGAAGGUCCGGCUAACUUCGUGCCAGCAGCCGCGGUAAUACGAAGGGACCUAGCGUAGUUCGGAAUUACUGGGCUUAAAGAGUUCGUAGGUUGUUGAAAAAGUUGGUGGUGAAAUCCCAGAGCUUAACUCUGGAACUGCCAUCAAAACUUUUCAGCUAGAGUAUGAUAGAGGAAAGCAGAAUUUCUAGUGUAGAGGUGAAAUUCGUAGAUAUUAGAAAGAAUACCGAUUGCGAAGGCAGCUUUCUGGAUCAUUACUGACACUGAGGAACGAAAGCAUGGGUAGCGAAGAGGAUUAGAUACCCUCGUAGUCCAUGCCGUAAACGAUGUGUGUUAGACGUUGGAAAUUUAUUUUCAGUGUCGCAGCGAAAGCGAUAAACACACCGCCUGGGGAGUACGACCGCAAGGUUAAAACUCAAAUGAAUUGACGGGGACCCGCACAAGUAGUGGAGCAUGUGGUUUAAUUCGAAGAUACGCGCAGAACCUUACCAACACUUUGACAUGUUCGUCGCGACUUUAAGAGAUUAAAGUUUUCGGUUCGGCCGGACGAAACACAGGUGCUGCAUGGCUGUCGUCAGCUCGUGUCGUGAGAUGUUGGGGUUAAGUCCCGCAACGAGCGCAACCCUCACUUUUAGUUGCCAUCAUUAAGUUGGGCACUCUGAAAGAACUGCCAGUGAUAAGCUGG
rnacentral:rRNA from 1 species